rnacentral:rRNA from 1 species
GGUCCAGACUCCUACGGGAGGCAGCAGUGGGGAAUAUUGCACAAUGGGGGAAACCCUGAUGCAGCGACGCCGCGUGAGUGAAGAAGUAUCUCGGUAUGUAAAGCUCUAUCAGCAGGGAAGAAAAUGACGGUACCUGACUAAGAAGCCCCGGCUAACUACGUGCCAGCAGCCGCGGUAAUACGUAGGUGGCAAGCGUUGUCCGGAUUUACUGGGUGUAAAGGGCGUGCAGCCGGGCCGACAAGUCAGAUGUGAAAUCCGCGGGCUUAACCCGCGAACUGCAUUUGAAACUAUAGGUCUUGAGUGCCGGAGAGGUAAUCGGAAUUCCUUGUGUAGCGGUGAAAUGCGUAGAUAUAAGGAAGAACACCAGUGGCGAAGGCGGAUUACUGGACGGUAACUGACGGUGAGGCGCGAAAGCGUGGGGAGCAAACAGGAUUAGAUACCCGGGUAGC